AUGGCGACGGCGGCGAGCUCCGGCGGACCAUCGGACCAUCAGUAUGUCUCGGUGAAGUUGGAGAGCCCCCGCCUGGCGGCGCUCGACCUCGCCCCUCACCUCUUCGGCUCCCACCCCGCCGCUGGCUCGUGGGACCCUUCCAAAGCCCUGCCGAUGGAGCGGGCGGCGGCCGCCAUUUGGGAGCUCAGCUGCGUCCUCCCUUCUCGACACGAAACACUGGAUUUCAAGUUACUAUUGAAGCCAAAAGCCGAUAGCUCAGAGUGCAUUGUUGAGGAGGGACCGAACCGACCGCUAGGUUGCGGGAGCAAUCAAGUGGAAAUGACGGAUGCAGUCUUUAAACUCGCUGAGAAAGAUUCACUUGAGUGUAAGGUUUGGGUUGAGACAGAGAUGUUGUCCCCAUUUGACCUAGCCGCAAGCUGGAAGGCUCAUCAGGAGAAUCUUCAGCCUUCAAGGGUGCGAGGGACCUAUGAUGUCGUUAUGAACACUGAGACUGAAGCCAGGGACGAGAAUGACUUCGCUUCUGGUUUGGAGCUUGAUUUAGAGAAGUAUGUAGUACCAACAACACCCAACAUGGGCUCAGGUGUUGUUUAUGCAGCUAACUUGACUGAGAAUCCCCGCUCUUUAUUGGACACCGGUAUCUCACCAAACAAUUUGAUCAAAGGUGACGCACCCCUGAAUCAUUAUGCUAACACAAAGAAGGAUGUAGAUGGAAGACAUACUCCGUCACAGGAAGAACAAAAGGCAGUCUUUGUAGAUAGAGGUGUUGGUUCACCAAGGUUUGCUAGACCAACAAACGAAACCGUUUCAACGAGCAACAUCAAGCAGGAUUCUGAAACAAAGUUGGGUAUGCCAGCAGCAGAAGGAGCUGUUGCAGCAGCAGCUGUAGCUGAUCAGAUGUACGGACCAAAAGAGGACCGCAAGUUGGUCAUUGUGCUGGUUGGGCUGCCAGCUCGUGGUAAGACCUUUACAGCAGCUAAGCUUACAAGAUAUCUCCGAUGGUUAGGUCAUGAAACAAAACACUUCAAUGUUGGAAAGUACCGGCGGCUCAAGCAUGGCACUAAUCAGACUGCUGAUUUCUUUCGUGGAGACAACAAGGAGGGUGUGGAGGCACGUAAUGAGGUGGCAGCAUUAGCAAUGGAAGAUAUGCUAUCAUGGAUGGAGGAAGGUGGCCAGGUUGGUAUUUGUGAUGCCACAAACAGCACAAGAAGUCGAAGGAACAUGCUGAUGAAAAUGGCUGAAGGAAAAUGUAAGAUCAUCUUUGUGGAAACAAUAUGUAAUGAUCAGGAUGUUCUUGAGAGAAAUAUUCGCCUGAAAGUUCAACAAAGUCCUGAUUAUGCGGAGCAAACGGAUUUUGAAGCGGGUGUGCGAGAUUUCAAAGAGCGACUGGCAUAUUAUGAAAAGGUGUAUGAACCAGUAGAUGAAGGGUCAUACAUAAAAAUGAUCGAUAUGGUUAGUGGGAACGGGGGCCAAUUGCAGAUCAACAAUAUAAGUGGUUACUUGCCUGGACGGAUUGUCUUCUUCUUGGUGAACUGUCAUCUUACACCUCGCCCUAUCCUGUUAACUAGGCAUGGGGAAAGUUUAGAUAAUGUCAGAGGAAGAAUCGGUGGAGAUUCAUCUUUGAGUGAGGUCGGGGAGGUUUAUUCAAGGAAACUUGCAAGCUUUGUAGAGAAGCGACUGAAGUCUGAGAGAACCGCCUCCAUAUGGACUAGCACACUCCAGAGGACAAUAUUAACUGCACAGCCAAUCAUCGGAUUUCCAAAGAUACAAUGGCGUGCUCUUGAUGAGAUAAAUGCUGGUGUUUGUGAUGGGAUGACAUAUGAUGAAGUAAAGAAAAAUAAACCUGAAGAAUAUGAAUCACGUCGUAAAGACAAGCUGAGGUACCGUUAUCCUAGAGGAGAAUCCUACCUCGAUGUCAUCCAGAGAUUAGAACCUGUAAUAAUUGAGCUUGAAAGGCAACGUGCCCCAGUGGUAGUCAUAGCUCACCAGGCUGUGUUGAGAUCACUAUAUGCAUAUUUCGCGGACAAACCACUGGAGGAAGUUCCUAAGAUUGAAAUACCUCUUCAUACAAUCAUUGAGAUAAAAAUGGGCGUCACUGGUGUUGAAGAGAAGAGAUACAAACUCAUGGACGCAGUGAACCCAACUGCAGAGGUCUGA
rnacentral:rRNA from 1 species